UGCAAGUCGAACGGUAACAGGUCUUCGGAUGCUGACGAGUGGCGAACGGGUGAGUAAUACAUCGGAACGUGCCCGAUCGUGGGGGAUAACGCAGCGAAAGCUGUGCUAAUACCGCAUACGAUCUACGGAUGAAAGCAGGGGACCGCAAGGCCUUGCGCGGACGGAGCGGCCGAUGGCAGAUUAGGUAGUUGGUGGGAUAAAAGCUUACCAAGCCGACGAUCUGUAGCUGGUCUGAGAGGACGACCAGCCACACUGGGACUGAGACACAGCCCAGACUCCUACGGGAGGCAGCAGUGGGGAAUUUUGGACAAUGGGGGAAACCCUGAUCCAGCCAUGCCGCGUGCAGGAUGAAGGCCUUCGGGUUGUAAACUGCUUUUGUACGGAACGAAAAGAUCUCUUCUAAUAAAGGGGGUUCAUGACGGUACCGUAAGAAUAAGCACCGGCUAACUACGUGCCAGCAGCCGCGGUAAUACGUAGGGUGCGAGCGUUAAUCGGAAUUACUGGGCGUAAAGCGUGCGCAGGCGGUUAUAUAAGACAGAUGUGAAAUCCCCGGGCUCAACCUGGGAACUGCAUUAGUGACUGUAUAGCUAGAGUGCGGCAGAGGGGGAUGGAAUUCCGCGUGUAGCAGUGAAAUGCGUAGAUAUGCGGAGGAACACCGAUGGCGAAGGCAAUCCCCUGGGCCUGCACUGACGCUCAUGCAC
rnacentral:rRNA from 1 species